AAAGAAGGUUGUAUAAUUAGUUCUCUAUAAAAUGUAGAUUAACCUUAAACACCAAAUCUUUUUCUGUUGUUUUUUUUUUUUUUUUUAAACUCUGCACUCAGGAAGAUCUGUUAACAAGCUUAGCACAGAACCACUGAGAAUCAUUCAUGAGACAUUGGAAGAAUCCACUGAUUGGCUUUAUGGCUUUAUUUCUUUACUGUCUGACAUCAUAUGGAGUGACGAUGAUGACAGUGAUGAAGGUGAAGUGGAAUCUUCCGUGAUAAAAGAAAUUCAUAAAGAGAAAACAGAGAGAUAUGAAAAACGAACAACACCG
rnacentral:lncRNA from 1 species